AUCAGAGCCUGUGCUGUCUCACACAAGCUCAGUCGUCGAGCCCCAGGUCUGGAGACAACCCCUUGGGAAAAAUACCAGAGAGAGCUCAAGUUUCUUAGAGAGGAAAGACAGAGAAGUUUCGGACCACACGCAGAGUUAAAGAGGAGAUAAAAGAGACCCAGAGUGGUUCCGACUGGGCCCAGAGUGAAAGAAGGAACAGAAGGUCCAGUUCAUUUACCACAAGAAACCUCUCCAACUGCGAACCAGAAGUUGCCUCUCAGCUCAGAGGUGCCAGCCAUCCUGUUUCCUCUCCUGCUCAAGUACAAGGGUGACUUUACAGCACUGGGUCAUGUAGGCGUAGUCACUCUGCAGCUGACUCUUCAUGUCCUCGAUGGCGUCCUCCAUGUGGGCCUGGCUGGCUUUGAUCUCCUGCAGGCCUUCCAGCCAAGUGUCCCAGGACCUGUGGUGGUCGUUCCCGUCCAGCCUGGCCAGUCCCAACCCCAACAUCCCCCCUCCUCCCCCAGCCCCAAAAUAAUUACUACCUGUCACAGAGUCACUGGAGCACUCGUCGUCACUACUGUACUUUGAGCUGGAGGCCAAGGUGACGCUGCUACUCAGGGGUACAUCAUCUGAAUGCUCCUCCACACCAUCCUCCAGCGAGUGUGUGCUGCCUAAUUUGUUGCGGAUCAAGCUGACAAACUCCAGGGGCUUAGACACCACAGCUGUAUGGGUGAGUUCUGACACGCCCCCUUUGACACCCUCCACCACACCUCCACCAAAGCUACUGAUCCCUGCCCGUACGUUAGCCCCUACAUCCUUCAGCCCCUGCUGCAUAUCCCCCAGCACAUCCUUAGGCUGCCGGCCCAGACCUUGCUAUAAGGAGAGGGAGGUUAGGUGGAUGGGGGAAAAGGUGUCAACGCAAAAGUAGACCAAUUAGACAUGGAUGACUCAUUUAAUUUUCUUUCUCUGUCUCUUUACUCAUAUAUAUAUAUACACACGCGCACGCACACGCACACGCGCACACACACACGCACGCACGCACGCACACACACACACACACACACACACACGCACACACACACGCACACAAACAC
rnacentral:lncRNA from 13 species